AAUGGGCGCAAGCCUGAACCAGCCAUCCCGCGUGCAGGAUGAAGGUCCUAUGGAUUGUAAACUGCUUUUAUCAGGGAAGAAACGCCUUCAUUUAUGAGGGUCUGACGGUACCUGAGGAAUAAGCACCGGCUAACUCCGUGCCAGCAGCCGCGGUAAUACGGAGGGUGCGAGCGUUAUCCGGAAUCACUGGGUUUAAAGGGUGCGUAGGCGGGGAAUUAAGUCAGUGGUGAAAGCCUGUCGCUUAACGAUAGAAUUGCCAUUGAUACUGAUUUUCUUGAAUUGGGUUGAGGUUAGCGGAAUGUGACAUGUAGCGGUGAAAUGCAUAGAUAUGUCAUGGAACACCAAUUGCGAAGGCAGCUAACUGGGCCUUGAUUGACGCUGAGGCACGAAAGCGUGGGUAGCGAA
rnacentral:rRNA from 1 species